rnacentral:rRNA from 1 species
CUAUACAUGCAAGUCGAACGCACUCUCGUUUAGAUUGAAGGAGCUUGCUCCUGAUUGAUAAACAUUUGAGUGAGUGGCGGACGGGUGAGUAACACGUGGGUAACCUGCCCUAAAGUGGGGGAUAACAUUUGGAAACAGAUGCUAAUACCGCAUAAAACCUAACACCGCAUGGUGUAGGGUUGAAAGAUGGUUUCGGCUAUCACUUUAGGAUGGACCCGCGGUGCAUUAGUUAGUUGGUGAGGUAAAGGCUCACCAAGACCGUGAUGCAUAGCCGACCUGAGAGGGUAAUCGGCCACACUGGGACUGAGACACGGCCCAGACUCCUACGGGAGGCAGCAGUAGGGAAUCUUCCACAAUGGACGAAAGUCUGAUGGAGCAACGCCGCGUGAGUGAAGAAGGUUUUCGGAUCGUAAAACUCUGUUGUUGGAGAAGAAUGUAUCUGAUAGUAACUGAUCAGGUAGUGACGGUAUCCAACCAGAAAGCCACGGCUAACUACGUGCCAGCAGCCGCGGUAAUACGUAGGUGGCAAGCGUUGUCCGGAUUUAUUGGGCGUAAAGCGAGCGCAGGCGGUUUCUUAAGUCUGAUGUGAAAGCCUUCGGCUCAACCGAAGAAGUGCAUCGGAAACUGGGAAACUUGAGUGCAGAAGAGGACAGUGGAACUCCAUGUGUAGCGGUGAAAUGCGUAGAUAUAUGGAAGAACACCAGUGGCGAAGGCGGCUGUCUGGUCUGUAACUGACGCUGAGGCUCGAAAGCAUGGGUAGCAAACAGGAUUAGAUACCCUGGUAGUCCAUGCCGUAAACGAUGAGUGCUAGGUGUUGGAGGGUUUCCGCCCUUCAGUGCCGCAGCUAACGCAUUAAGCACUCCGCCUGGGGAGUACGACCGCAAGGUUGAAACUCAAAGGAAUUGACGGGGGCCCGCACAAGCGGUGGAGCAUGUGGUUUAAUUCGAAGCAACGCGAAGAACCUUACCAGGUCUUGACAUCCUUUGACCACUCUAGAGAUAGAGCUUUCCCUUCGGGGACAAAGUGACAGGGGGUGCAGGGUUGUCGUCAGCUCCUGCCGUGAAAUGUUGGGUUAAGUCCCGCAACGAGCGCACCCUUAUUAC